GCAGCCGCCACGGUAAUACGAAGGGUGCAAGCGUUAAUCGGAAUUACUGGGCGUAAAGCGUGCGUAGGCGGUUUGUUAAGUCUGCUGUGAAAUCCCCGGGCUCAACCUGGGAAUGGCAGUGGAUACUGGCAAGCUAGAGUGUGUCAGAGGAUGGUGGAAUUCCCGGUGUAGCGGUGAAAUACGUAGAGAUCGGGAGGAACAUCAGUGGCGAAGGCGGCCAUCUGGGACAACACUGACGCUGAGGCACGAAAGCGUGGGGAGCAAACAGGAUUAGAUACCCCUGUAGUCCCUGUCUCUUAUAC
rnacentral:rRNA from 1 species